UGUAGUCUCUAAUGUUCGAUCAGAAACAAAUCACGAAAUGAGUUCUGGUUGUCCUAGAAACUACGAA
rfam:Caenorhabditis brenneri strain PB2801 C_brenneri-6.0.1_Cont91.15, whole genome shotgun sequence.